rnacentral:rRNA from 1 species
GAUGAACGCUGGCGGCGUGCCUAAUACAUGCAAGUCGAGCGAACGGACGAGAAGCUUGCUUCUCUGAUGUUAGCGGCGGACGGGUGAGUAACACGUGGAUAACCUACCUAUAAGACUGGGAUAACUUCGGGAAACCGGAGCUAAUACCGGAUAAUAUUUUGAACCGCAUGGUUCAAAAGUGAAUGACGGUCUUGCUGUCACUUAUAGAUGGAUCCGCGCUGCAUUAGCUAGUUGGUAAGGUAACGGCUUACCAAGGCAACGAUGCAUAGCCGACCUGAGAGGGUGAUCGGCCACACUGGAACUGAGACACGGUCCAGACUCCUACGGGAGGCAGCAGUAGGGAAUCUUCCGCAAUGGGCGAAAGCCUGACGGAGCAACGCCGCGUGAGUGAUGAAGGUCUUCGGAUCGUAAAACUCUGUUAUUAGGGAAGAACAUAUGUGUAAGUAACUGUGCACAUCUUGACGGUACCUAAUCAGAAAGCCACGGCUAACUACGUGCCAGCAGCCGCGGUAAUACGUAGGUGGCAAGCGUUAUCCGGAAUUAUUGGGCGUAAAGCGCGCGUAGGCGGUUUUUUAAGUCUGAUGUGAAAGCCCACGGCUCAACCGUGGAGGGUCAUUGGAAACUGGAAAACUUGAGUGCAGAAGAGGAAAGUGGAAUUCCAUGUGUAGCGGUGAAAUGCGCAGAGAUAUGGAGGAACACCAGUGGCGAAGGCGACUUUCUGGUCUGUAACUGACGCUGAUGUGCGAAAGCGUGGGGAUCAAACAGGAUUAGAUACCCUGGUAGUCCACGCCGUAAACGAUGAGUGCUAAGUGUUAGGGGGUUUCCGCCCCUUAGUGCUGCAGCUAACGCAUUAAGCACUCCGCCUGGGGAGUACGACCGCAAGGUUGAAACUCAAAGGAAUUGACGGGGACCCGCACAAGCGGUGGAGCAUGUGGUUUAAUUCGAAGCAACGCGAAGAACCUUACCAAAUCUUGACAUCCUUUGACAACUCUAGAGAUAGAGCUUUCCCCUUCGGGGGACAAAGUGACAGGUGGUGCAUGGUUGUCGUCAGCUCGUGUCGUGAGAUGUUGGGUUAAGUCCCGCAACGAGCGCAACCCUUAAGCUUAGUUGCCAUCAUUAAGUUGGGCACUCUAAGUUGACUGCCGGUGACAAACCGGAGGAAGGUGGGGAUGACGUCAAAUCAUCAUGCCCCUUAUGAUUUGGGCUACACACGUGCUACAAUGGACAAUACAAAGGGCAGCGAAACCGCGAGGUCAAGCAAAUCCCAUAAAGUUGUUCUCAGUUCGGAUUGUAGUCUGCAACUCGACUACAUGAAGCUGGAAUCGCUAGUAAUCGUAGAUCAGCAUGCUACGGUGAAUACGUUCCCGGGUCU